CUAAGCAUACUGUAACCAAAACUUCUCCAGCUGACCUCGCUGCAGCUGAGCUUGCUGCAGCUGAGCAUGCUGCAACCACACCUUCAUUGACCGAGCCAGCUGCAGCUGAGCAUGCUUCAGCCAAAACUCUAGCUGAGUCUUUUGUAACUGAGCUUGCUCUAGACAAAUUUGGUUCAGCUGAACCUGCAGCAGCUGGGCUUGCUGCAGCCAAAACUUUUCCAUCUGAGCCCUUUGUAGCUGAGCCCCUUGCAGCUGAGUUUUCUUCAGCCAAUUCUGCUUCAGUUGAACCUCCUGGAGCUGACCCUGCUACAGCCAGAUUUCCUUCAUUUGAGCCUGCUGCCCCAGAACCUCAGCUGCCUUCUCCUGACCAGGUAAAGAAAUGAAAUUUCCUAGAGAAGAGAGUAUGGUGCAUUUGUUUCUGUAUGGGUGCAGAAAUCAGUGAAAUCUACAAAAUUUUCUUUUUCAAAGACUAUUUCAUUCUCUUAUAUUAAAACUAUCA